rnacentral:lncRNA from 1 species
AUGGAAUUUGGAGUCACAAGGACAAGGGAGCAGAAUCAGCUCUGCCGUCUAUGAACUGAUUUUGAAGAAAGAAAUUCACCUCUCUGAGUCUCAGUUGCUUGAUCUGUUAAAUAGAAAUGGAUCCUAUUAACACAUAGUAGGAAAAUAAACAAGUUACAAUGGUGAUUAAGGGUCUCAAACCAGGAAGACAGGAGACAAAUCAGAUCAUAUUACAGAAAAGAAGUGGAGGGAAAAAAUGGAGAUUUGUUUGAAAAAGAGAGGCUUUCAUUUCCCACUAUCUUCCUGUUGGCAAUCAGUCCAACAAAUGUGGUGAGAAACACAGAGCUCAGCGUCAAGUGGCACGGAGAGAACAUCUACACCCACACGCCUCUGAUUCACACCUGAAGUUUUUCACUGUGCUUGAUUGGAAAUCCAAGUCUCCUGGCUUCCAAGGCUGCGUAGAGGGAUGGCUAUGACCAUGAACUUUGGUGUCACAGGGAUGGGAGCUUGCGUUUCUUCUUUCCUGUCUACUGGCUGUGUGAUCUUGAAUUAAUUAUUUAACCUGACUGUCUUCAUCUGUAAGAUGAUGAUAAUGGCUCCAAUAUCACAGGCUAUUGCAAGGAUUAAAUUCAAUCAUGAGUGUCAAGUCCUUUCUACAUAAUGUCAUCUAUAAAUGGUGGCUAUUAUCCUUUCUACGCCUUGGUUAUGCUAAGUUCAAAUGUGAUAUUAUGAGCGAAUAAACUUUACUCUGCAUUUCCCA